GAAAGAUUUGUGGCUUGGUUAAAGGCGUAGGUCGUCUCCGAAGUAGCUGAGGACCAACAUUAAGGGCGUUCGGUCGGAUUGGGGAACAGACCGUAUACUGACCACAUUCCUCAUCCAUGGCCUAGCUCGAUGUUUUAGAGCAAAAUGCAAGUCCUGUCAGGUUUUCAGUGUCACUAUUUAUUUAUUCCAUAAACAAAACAAAAUAAAUUUCGACGGGAUCGAUGCCGGGUCUAUAUAUCUGUCUGGAUUUGGCGGUGCGCCGAGCACCUCGAGCGCAAUCAACUUCCAAUCUGGAACUGGAGAUGGCCGGCUUGUCUUGAUUACACAAUACGUUUAUUUUACAUGUUAUA